UUGACACUCCUCGACACGCGCCGCAGUGCGCAGAUCUAAGGCGCAGUGUCCGGAGCCGGGACCGGAAGAGCUGCCUCUCGUCCCGGAGACAUGGUGGAGAGCGGUCGUGCUUCCUCCUGCGUCCCGGCUGAACGAUGACCUCUCCGGGAUGAAUCUCCACCAAUGCAGAUGAUAUAGGUUACAAGAUGUGGUGCCUGGAAAGGCACCUGACUGGAUAAUGCGCGUGUCCUGUGCUGAACAGGAGUUGCCUCUGAUUACAUGAAGUGACAGGAUGAACCUGGUGUCGUCCCUUGUGUCCUGUGCUGAUGAGUUGCCUCUGACUACAUGAGAUGACAGGAUGAACCUGGUGUCAUCCUGUGUAUCCUGUGCUGAUGAGUUGCCUCUGUCUAAAUGAGGGGACACGAUGAACAUGGUGUCAUCCCUUGUGUCCUGUGCUGAUGCGUUGCCUCUGACUACAUGAGAUGACAGGAUGAACCUGGUGUCAUCCCUUGUGUCCUGUGCUGAUGAGGUGCUUCAGAUCAUAUGAUAUGUUGGCUGGAGAUGCACCUGAAGUAUAAUCCUGUGCUGAUCAGGAGGGUUACGGAGCCAAUUGACUGAUCACACGUUUAUGGGGAAACCAAAUUUCAAAGUGUACCUGGAACUGAUGGAUCAUAAUUUGGCAGAUUUAUAAAAAAUAUUUUUCUGAAUAAAAAAAAAAUGCCUGGGCUUGA